rnacentral:rRNA from 1 species
CAGUAGCCACGGUAAUACAGAGGAUGCAAGCGUUAUCCGGAAUGAUUGGGCGUAAAGCGUCUGUAGGUGGCUUUUCAAGUCCGCCGUCAAAUCCCAGGGCUCAACCCUGGACAGGCGGUGGAAACUACCAAGCUGGAGUACGGUAGGGGUAGAGGGAAUUUCCGGUGGAGCGGUGAAAUGCGUUGAGAUCGGAAAGAACACCAGCGGCGAAAGCACUCUGCUGGGCCGACACUGACACUGAGAGACGAAAGCUAGGGGAGCAAAUGGGAUUAGAUACCCCCCUAGUCCCUGUCUCUUAUAC